GACGAACCGAGCGAACGUUGUUCGGAAUCACUGGGCUUAAAGGGCGCGUAGGCGGGUGCUCAAGUCCGGGGGGAAAUCCUCCAGCUCAACUGGAGAACUGCCUCGGAUACUGGGUGCCUCGAGUGUGGUAGGGGUGUGCGGAACUAUCGGUGGAGCGGUGAAAUGCGUUGAUAUCGAUAGGAACUCCGGUGGCGAAGGCGGCACACUGGACCACAACUGACGCUGAGGCGCGAAAGCCAGGGGAGCGAACGGG
rnacentral:rRNA from 1 species